CUUACACAUGCAGUCGACGGUGUCUUCGGACACAGUGGCGGACGGGUGAGUAACGCGUGAGAAUCUGCCUUCAGGUCUGGGACAACCACUGGAAACGGUGGCUAAUACCGGAUGUGCCGAGAGGUGAAAGGUUAACUGCCUGAAGAUGAGCUCGCGUCUGAUUAGCUAGUUGGUAGAGUAAGAGCCUACCAAGGCGACGAUCAGUAGCUGGUCUGAGAGGAUGAUCAGCCACACUGGGACUGAGACACGGCCCAGACUCCUACGGGAGGCAGCAGUGGGGAAUUUUCCGCAAUGGGCGAAAGCCUGACGGAGCAAUACCGCGUGAGGGAGGAAGGCUCUUGGGUCGUAAACCUCUUUUCUCAGGGAAGAACACAAUGACGGUACCUGAGGAAUAAGCAUCGGCUAACUCCGUGCCAGCAGCCGCGGUAAUACGGAGGAUGCAAGCGUUAUCCGGAAUGAUUGGGCGUAAAGCGUCCGCAGGUGGCUAUGUAAGUCUGCUGUUAAAGCGUCUAGCUCAACUAGAUAAAAGCAGUGGAAACUACAAGGCUAGAGUACGUUCGGGGCAGAGGGAAUUCCUGGUGUAGCGGUGAAAUGCGUAGAGAUCAGGAAGAACACCGGUGGCGAAGGCGCUCUGCUAGGCCGUAACUGACACUGAGGGACGAAAGCUAGGGGAGCGAAUGGGAUUAGAUACCCCAGUAGUCCUAGCCGUAAACGAUGGAUACUAGGCGUGGCUUGUAUCGACCCGAGCCGUGCCGUAGCUAACGCGUUAGUUAUCCCGCCUGGGGGAGUACCGCACGCAGUGUGAAACUCAAGAUGACGGGGGCCCGCACAGCGUUGAAGUAUGUGAUUAUCGAUGCACGCGAGAUCUACAGGCUGACUGUCCCG
rnacentral:rRNA from 1 species